GGACGAACGCUGGCGGCGUGCCUAAUACAUGCAAGUCGAACGAACUCUGGUAUUGAUUGGUGCUUGCAUCAUGAUUUACAUUUGAGUGAGUGGCGAACUGGUGAGUAACACGUGGGAAACCUGCCCAGAAGCGGGGGAUAACACCUGGAAACAGAUGCUAAUACCGCAUAACAACUUGGACCGCAUGGUCCGAGCUUGAAAGAUGGCUUCGGCUAUCACUUUUGGAUGGUCCCGCGGCGUAUUAGCUAGAUGGUGGGGUAACGGCUCACCAUGGCAAUGAUACGUAGCCGACCUGAGAGGGUAAUCGGCCACAUUGGGACUGAGACACGGCCCGAACUCCUACGGGAGGCAGCAGUAGGGAAUCUUCCACAAUGGACGAAAGUCUGAUGGAGCAACGCCGCGUGAGUGAAGAAGGGUUUCGGCUCGUAAAACUCUGUUGUUAAAGAAGAACAUAUCUGAGAGUAACUGUUCAGGUAUUGACGGUAUUUAACCAGAAAGCCACGGCUAACUACGUGCCAGCAGCCGCGGUAAUACGUAGGUGGCAAGCGUUGUCCGGAUUUAUUGGGCGUAAAGCGAGCGCAGGCGGUUUUUUAAGUCUGAUGUGAAAGCCUUCGGCUCAACCGAAGAAGUGCAUCGGAAACUGGGAAACUUGAGUGCAGAGAGGACAGUGGACUCCAUGUGUAGCGGUGAAAUGCGUAGAUAUAUGGAAGAACACCAGUGGCGAAGGCGGCUGUCUGGUCUGUAACUGACGCUGAGGCUCGAAAGUAUGGGUAGCAAACAGGAUUAGAUACCCUGGUAGUCCAUACCGUAAACGAUGAAUGCUAAGUGUUGGAGGGUUUCCGCCCUUCAGUGCUGCAGCUAACGCAUUAAGCAUUCCGCCUGGGGAGUACGGCCGCAAGGCUGAAACUCAAAGGAAUUGACGGGGGCCCGCACAAGCGGUGGAGCAUGUGGUUUAAUUCGAAGCUACGCGAAGAACCUUACCAGGUCUUGACAUACUAUGCAAAUCUAAGAGAUUAGACGUUCCCUUCGGGGACAUGGAUACAGGUGGUGCAUGGUUGUCGUCAGCUCGUGUCGUGAGAUGUUGGGUUAAGUCCCGCAACGAGCGCAACCCUUAUUAUCAGUUGCCAGCAUUAAGUUGGGCACUCUGGUGAGACUGCCGGUGACAAACCGGAGGAAGGUGGGGAUGACGUCAAAUCAUCAUGCCCCUUAUGACCUGGGCUACACACGUGCUACAAUGGAUGGUACAACGAGUUGCGAACUCGCGAGAGUAAGCUAAUCUCUUAAAGCCAUUCUCAGUUCGGAUUGUAGGCUGCAACUCGCCUACAUGAAGUCGGAAUCGCUAGUAAUCGCGGAUCAGCAUGCCGCGGUGAAUACGUUCCCGGGCCUUG
rnacentral:rRNA from 1 species